UACAGAGGGGGCAAGCGUUGUUCGGAAUUACUGGGCGUAAAGGGCGCGUAGGCGGCCUGCUAAGUCGAACGUGAAAUCCCCGGGCUCAACCCGGGAACUGCGUCCGAUACUGGCAGGCUUGAAUCCGGGAGAGGGAUGUGGAAUUCCAGGUGUAGCGGUGAAAUUCGUAGAUAUUCGGCGGAACACCAGUGGCGAAGGCGACUCACUGGCCCGAUACUGACGCUGAGGCGCGAAAGCGUGGGGAGCAAACAGG
rnacentral:rRNA from 1 species